rnacentral:rRNA from 1 species
GACGAACGCUGGCGGCGUGCUUAACACAUGCAAGUCGAACGGAAAGGCCUGCUUUCCCUUGUGGAUUGCGGGUACUCGAGUGGCGAACGGGUGAGUAACACGUGAGUGAUCUGCCCCCAACUUGGGUAUAAGCCUGGGAAACUGGGUCUAAUUCCCGAUAGGACUGCAGGGUGGUGCCUGUGGUGGAAAACGAUUUUCUAGUGGUUGGGGAUGAGCUCGCGGCCUAUCAGCUUGUUGGUGGGGUAAUGGCCUACCAAGGCGGCGACGGGUAGCCGGCCUGGGAGGGUGGGCGGGCACAGUGGGACUGAGAUACGGCCCAGACUCCUACGGGAGGCAGCAGUGGGGAAGAUUGCACGAUGGGCGGAAGCCUGAUGCAGGGACGCCGCGUGGGGGAUGACGGCCUUCGGGUUGUAAACUCCUUUCGACAGCGAGGAAGCCACCUGGUUGGAAGGGUGGUGACGGUAGUGGUAGAAGAAGCACCGGCUAACUACGUG